GACGAACGCUGGCGGCGUGCCUAAUACAUGCAAGUCGAACGCUUCUUUCCUCCCGAGUGCUUGCACUCAAUUGGAAAGAGGAGUGGCGGACGGGUGAGUAACACGUGGGUAACCUACCCAUCAGAGAGGGAUGACACUUGGAAACAGGUGCUAAUACCGCAUAACAGUUUAUGCCGCAUGGCAUAAGAGUGAAAGGCGCUUUCGGGUGUCGCUGAUGGAUGGACCCGCGGUGCAUUAGCUAGUUGGUGAGGUAACGGCUCACCAAGGCCACGAUGCAUAGCCGACCUGAGAGGGUGAUCGGCCACACUGGGACUGAGACACGGCCCAGACUCCCACGGGAGGCAGCAGUAGGGAAUCUUCGGCAAUGGACGAAAGUCUGACCGAGCAACGCCGCGUGAGUGAAGAAGGUUUUCGGAUCGUAAAACUCUGUUGUUAGAGAAGAACAAGGACGUUAGUAACUGAACGUCCCCUGACGGUAUCUAACCAGAAAGCCACGGCUAACUACGUG
rnacentral:rRNA from 1 species